rnacentral:rRNA from 1 species
UACGGGAGGCAGCAGUGGGGAAUAUUGCACAAUGGGCGAAAGCCUGAUGCAGCUAUGCCGCGUGUAUGAAGAAGGCCUUAGGGUUGUAAAGUACUUUCAUCGGGGAGGAAAAACAAAACUAAUAAUUUUAUUUCUUGACGUUACCCGAAAAAGAAGCACCGGCUAACUCCGUGCCAGCAGCCGCGGUAAUACGGAGGGUGCUAGCGUUAAUCAGAAUUAUUGGGCGUAAAGAGCACGUAGGUGGUUUUUUAAGUCAGAUGUGAAAUCCCUGGGCUUAACCUAGGAACUGCAUUUUGAAACUGAAAUACUAGAGUAUCGUAGAGGGAGGUAGAAUUCUAGGUGUAGCGGUGAAAUGCGUAGAUAUCUGGAGGAAUACCUGUGGCGAAAGCGGCCUCCUAAACGAAUACUGACACUGAGGUGCGAAAGCGUGGGGAGCAAACAGGGAUUAGAUACC